GGUCCCAUAGCUCAGUUGGUUAGAGCGUCGUACUAAUACCAUUCUAUCCUGAAUAGUAUGAAGUCAAUGCGAAGGCCGGCGGUUCGAGCCCGCCUGGGACCA